rnacentral:tRNA from 1 species
UCCCUGGUGGUCCAGUGGCUGAGACGCUGCACUCCCAGUGCGGGGGCCCUGGGUUCAAUUCCUGGACAGGGAA